rnacentral:rRNA from 1 species
UACGUAGGGACCAAGCGUUGUUCGGAUUUACUGGGCGUAAAGGGCUCGUAGGUGGUUUGUCGCGUUGUUCGUGAAAACCGGGGGCUUAACCCUCGGCGUGCGGGCGAUACGGGCAGGCUGGAGUUCGGUAGGGGAGACUGGAAUUCUCGGUGUAGCGGUGAAAUGCGUAGAUAUCGAGAGGAACACCUGCGGCGAAGGCGGGUUGCUGGGCUGACACUGACGCUGACAGCGCGAAAGCUAGGGAGCGAACGGG